AAAUUGAAGAGUUUGAUCAUGGCUCAGAUUGAACGCUGGCGGCAGGCCUAACACAUGCAAGUCGAACGGUAACAGGAAGAAGCUUGCUUCUUUGCUGACGAGUGGCGGACGGGUGAGUAAUGUCUGGGAAACUGCCUGAUGGAGGGGGAUAACUACUGGAAACGGUAGCUAAUACCGCAUAACGUCGCAAGACCAAAGAGGGGGACCUUCGGGCCUCUUGCCAUCGGAUGUGCCCAGAUGGG
rnacentral:rRNA from 1 species